GAUUGAACGCUGGCGGCAUGCUUUACACAUGCAAGUCGAACGGGUGAAGGGGCAACUCUUCAUUCAGUGGCGAACGGGUGAGUAAUGCAUCGGAACGUACCGUCGUAGUGGGGGAUAAACUCGGCGAAAGCCGUGCUAAUACCGCAUAUGCUCUAACGGAGGAAAGCAGGGGACCUGAAAGGGCCUUGUGCUAGUGGGAGCGGCCGAUGUCCGAUUAGCUAGUUGG
rnacentral:rRNA from 1 species